UGGGGAAUUUUGCACAAUGGGCGGAAGCCUGAUGCAGCGACGCCGUGUGGGGGAUGAAGGCCUUCGGGUUGUAAACUCCUUUCGUCAGGGACGAAGUUUGUUUGACGGUACCUGGAUAAGAAGCACCGGCUAACUACGUGCCAGCAGCCGCGGGAAUACGUAGGGUGCGAGCGUUGUCCGGAUUUACUGGGCGUAAAGGGCUCGUAGGUGGUGUGUUGCGUCGUCUGUGUAAUCCAGGGGCUUAACUUUUGGUUGGCAGGCGAUACGGGCAUUGCUUGAGUGCUGUAGGGGAGACUGGAAUUCCUGGUGUAGCGGUGAAAUGCGCAGAUAUCAGGAGGAACACCGAUGGCGAAGGCAGGUCUCUGGGCAGUUACUGACGCUGAGGAGCGAGAGCAUGGGUAGCGAACAGG
rnacentral:rRNA from 1 species